GACGUUCACGAUACUAUAGAUAGCGACUUAUCAAUUUUGACGAAAUGACUUUGAUUUCGUAGACUCAAAGUCGAAAGUGUAACAAUAAUAUGAUCAUGUAGAUGUUAUCCGAACAUUCACGAAAAUACUAGAUCGCCCCAAAGAAGAUAUUGAAGCCUCGAAACCAUUGCUGGAAAACAAACAAAGUUAACCAAAAAAUAUCAAACAACUACAGAAAAUAGACAUUAUAUGUCCUGACCUGACGAGUGCCAGAAACCAAUUGAAUGUCUCGAAAUAAAUCAGGGAACUACAAGAUGUGCAGAGAGAGAUUGUGUCCGGAAGUAGAGACCAAAUACGACGGUCUCCAUUGCAAAAUACUGGUUUUUGGGCCUCCAGGAAACAAAGACAUGCUCAUCAAAAGUGACUGCGUAGACGCAUCGUACACCUUUUUGAUGUUAAAGCUUGGACUUACAUGCCAUGCCAGUUGAUUAUUUGCAUGCAUUACGGAAAAUAAUUUUCAAAUCUUUGAAACAUGGAAACACGGAUAGGCUAAAGAAGCAACGCUGAGAAAAUUAUAAGACGUAGCAAAGUUUCUUUAUAUGUACACCAAGGCUAUUGCAUCAAAAUUGAGGGACAAGUUUUGCACUUAAGGGACAUGUGCGAAAAAGUGCAUUAACGUUAAAAUUACGAUAGGGUAUAACCGUGAUAUGUUAUACAUUUUAGUAAGAGGUUCUAAUACAAGUGUGGCAUACGUUGCCAAAUUUGACUAAAUAAAUGAUGAUUUUAUACGGUUGUAUAGUUUGAAGCGACAGAACAUUAAUUAUAGAGUUUAUCUGUUUUGCGUUCAGUAAUGACGCGAAAACGACAUGACUGCACUGCACAGUUUUUAAAUUAUAAACUAUUUAACACGCUUUGUCGAUUAGGCGAGAUUUGACAAAGUGAAAGGAUAGUAAAUUGUUGGCAUUACUGACUGAUAUUCUUUUCAGUAUUUCAGAUGUGUUUUAGUUAGUUCAGCAUCUUUAGAACGAUCGGGUGUUAAAGUUUGAUGAAGAAGAUCUGAAUUGAAACAUUUUGAAACAACUUAGUUCCUUCCUUCCAGUCUCAGAAAAUUCAGGAACAAUGCUCAUGAAUAAAAUGCUUUAUACAUAAAAGAAAUUUAAUUUUCAUAGAAACAUGGUAUGCAAAGCCAUUUUGCUUUUAUUUUAAUUUUCACUUCUAAUUCGCUUGUUUACAAAAGCCAUACAUUUAUUGUGUAAUUCUGUGUUGAUAUUUUAUCUGACAGUAUGGUAAAUGUUAAAAGCACAUACAGCUAGCAUUAUAUAAAUUGGUUAUGAUUCCAGCUUCAUGAAAAAGUAAGU
rnacentral:lncRNA from 1 species